rnacentral:rRNA from 1 species
CCUGGCGGCCAUAGCGCCGUGGAACCACCUGAUCCCUUGCCGAACUCAGAAGUGAAACGCGGUAGCGCCGAUGGUAGUGUGGCAU